AGAGUUUGAUCCUGGCUCAGAACGUACGCUGGCGGCACGCCUAACACAUGCAAGUCGAACGCAGUAGCAAUACUGAGUGGCAAACGGGUGAGUAUAAUGUGGGAAUCUGCCUUUUGGUCUGGAAUAACACGAGGAAACUUGUGCUAAUACCGGAUAAGCCUUCACAGGGAAAGUUUUAAUGCCAAAAGAUGAGCCCGCACUUGAUUAGCUAGUUGGUAAGGUAAUAGCUUACCAAGGCUACGAUCAAUAGCUGUUCUUUGAGGAAGACCAGCCACAUUGGGACUGAGACACGGCCCAAACUCCUACGGGAGGCAGCAGUGGGGAAUCUUGCACAAUGGGGGAAACCCUGAUGCAGCGAUGCCGCGUGAGUGAAGAAGGCCUUUGGGUUGUAAAACUCUUUCGUCGGGGAAGAAAAUGACUGUACCCGAAUAAGAAGGUCCGGCUAACUUCGUGCCAGCAGCCGCGGUAAUACGAAGGGACCUAGCGUAGUUCGGAAUUACUGGGCUUAAAGAGUUCGUAGGUGGUUAAAAAAGUUGAUGGUGAAAUCCCAAGGCUCAACCUUGGAACUGCCAUCAAAACUUUUUAGCUAGAGUAUGAUAGAGGAAAGUGGAAUUUCUAGUGUAGAGGUGAAAUUCGUAGAUAUUAGAAAGAACAUCAAAAGCGAAGGCAACUUUCUGGAUCAUUACUGACACUGAGGAACGAAAGCAUGGGUAGCGAAGAGGAUUAGAUACCCUCGUAGUCCAUGCCGUAACGAUGUGUGCUAGACGUUGGGAACUUAGUUUUCAGUGUCGCAGCGAAAGCAUUAAGCACACCGCCUGGGGAGUACGACCGCAA
rnacentral:rRNA from 1 species